ACCUAGCUGGCUCAGUCGGUAGAGCAUGUGACUCUUGAUCUUGGGGUUGUCAGUUCAAGCCCCAUGUUAGGUG
rnacentral:tRNA from 1 species